CCCAUAACGAGCGCAACCCUACCCUUAGUUGCCAUCAGGUUAAGCUGGGGACGUCUAAAGGAACUGCCUACGCAAGUAGUGAGGAAGGCGGGGAUGACGUCAAAUCAGCACGGCCCUUACGUCCAGGGCUACACACGUGCUACAAUGGCCGAUACAGAGGGCAGCUACCUGGUGACAGGAUGCAAAUCUCCAAAGUCGGUCUCAGUUCGGAUCGGAGUCUGCAACCCGACUCCGUGAAGUUGGAUUCGCUAGUAAUCGCGCAUCAGCCAUGGCGCGGUGAAUACGUUCCCGGGCCUU
rnacentral:rRNA from 1 species